UACGGGGGGGGCAAGCGUUGUUCGGAAUUACUGGGCGUAAAGGGCUCGUAGGUGGCCAACUAAGUCAGACGUGAAAUCCCUCGGCUUAACCGGGGAACUGCGUCUGAUACUGGAUGGCUUGAGUUCGGGAGAGGGAUGCGGAAUUCCAGGUGUAGCGGUGAAAUGCGUAGAUAUCUGGAGGAACACCGGUGGCGAAGGCGGCAUCCUGGACCGACACUGACACUGAGGAGCGAAAGCCAGGGGAGCAAACGGGAGUUAG
rnacentral:rRNA from 1 species